GGCUCAAGAAAAGGGAGUCCUUGGAAGACAGAUGCCGGAAAGGAGGCGUGGGGAGAGAAGGAGGGAGGAGAGAGGCUUGCACAAAGAGGAGACUGAUGUUUAUGUACCAACAAUGUGGCUGAUAAUUCUUCUAUUCACUGAUUCUUUCCAUUUUCUUGUGUGGUCUGAACCAUUAGGCCAGUGGAUUAGUUGCCAUCUGAUAUUUAUUAGAUCUUCUCUGAGUUCUUAUUCUCCAAGUCCUAUCUCUGCUCUUUAGACUGAGUUUCUUACUGGUCAUUUGAAAUCUAAAGUUCAUUCUUUUUUUAACUUUUUUUUUUUUUGACAGGCAGAGUGGACAAUAAGAGAGAGAGACAGAGAGAAAGGUCUUCCUUCCGUUGGUUCACCCCCAAAAUGACCACUGCGGCCAGCGCGCUGCGCCGAUCUGAAGCCAGGAGCCAGGCGCCUCCUCAUGGUCUCCCAUGCGGGUGCAGGUGCCAAGCACUUGGGCCAUCCUCCACUGCCUUCCCGGGCCACAGGAGAGAGCUGGACUGGAAGAGGAGCAACCGGGACAGAACCGGCGCCCCAACCAGAACUAGAACCCGGGGUGCCAGCGUCUCAGGCGGAGGAUUAGCCAACAUCAGAUUCUCUCUGUGUUGGAACAAUUGGAUUUGCACGUCAUACUCAUUAAUCAAGAAAUAAGUUAAAUAAAUAUUUGGAAUCUAUGCUGCACAAAAAGGCCAUGAAGAACAGCAAAACGCAGAAGAAGAAUCCAGUUCCCCCGGCCAUCAGUACCGCAGACCACAGUGAGAACAAGAAUAUUUAACAACCAAGAAAAACCAUAAGUAUAAGAAUUCUAGACUUCUCUUUAGUCUAUCAAGCCCUCAGCUUGACCAUCGUUAACCAACUCAUAUAGCCACCAGUAUCCACCUAUCAAAGGAAGCUGAUGAGGUAAGCCACAUGACGCUUUGCAAAUGAGAAUAUGUAAACAAAUGAGGUUCUGCUGAACUCAGAAUAACUGAGAAUUUAACUCAAAUAUGUUAUCUACAUAGGAAAUGGUUACAUUUACAUUAGACUACUAAUUAAAACACAUUAACCAGAAAUUAUUUCUCAAAUUUUUUGUUAAAAAGAAAGAAAUGUAUAGCAUAUAUAUAUAUAUAUAUAUAUAUAUCUAAAAUAUAGGGGCCAACAUUGUGGUGCAGUGUGUUAAGCUACUGCCUACAACUCGGCACCCCAUAUGAGCACCAGUGUGAGUCCCAGCUCCUCCACUUCAAUUCCAGCUCCCUGCUAAUGCACCUGGGAAAGCAGAAGAUGGCACAAGUACUUGGGUCCCUGCAACCCACACAAGAGACUUGGAGGAAGUUCCUGGUUCCUGGCUUCAGAUCCGCCAGUUCCAGUCAAUGCAGCCAUUUGGGGAAUGAACCAGCAGAUGGAAGUGCUCUUUCUCUCUCUCUCUCUCGCUCUCGCUCUCGCUCUCUUUCUCUAACUCUGCCUUUCAAAGAAAUAUAUAAAUAUUUAAAAUAAAUAAAAUAACAUAGGAUAUCAAUCCAAUUAAGUUAAACUAAUCCACCAGAAUAGGAGUAUGUAUAUAUACAUGUAAUAUACAAUUAUCAUCAAUAAUCGUACAUGGAUUAUAUAUUCAUUAUAUUGAUAUAUAUGGAAAUAUAUUGCAUUUAAAAUAAACUAUUCUGCUGGACUGCUUUAGUGCAUUUUAUAAGUAUUUCAACUUUAAAUAGAUGCUUUUCUCUAUUUUUUUUAAUAUUUAUUUAUAUAUUUGAAAGUCAAGUUACACAGAGAGUGAGAGACAGAGAGAGAGAGAGAGAGAGAGAUCAAUCUUCCAUCUGCUUGUUCACGUCCCAUAUGACCACAACAACUAGGACUUGGCCAGUCCAAAGCCAGGAGCCAGGAGCUCCACCCAGGUCUCCCACAAGGGUGGCAGGGGCUCAUGGACUUGGGCCAUCCUCUGCUGCUUUUCCUAGGUCAUUAGCCUAGAGCAGGAUCAGAAGUGGAACAGCUGGAAUGGAACCAGUGCCCAAAUGGGAUGCCAGAGUUACAGGCAGUGGCUUUAUCCAUUAUGUUACAACACUGGCCCAUCUCUUAGUUCUUACUGGAAUUUUAGAAAAGUUCAGCUAACAUAAAAUAUAUCACUUUGUUUCUAAGUACUUAAAUUUUAAAUGUAGACUAUUUUACAAUAGUCUCCAUAAAUCUAUGUUUUUAUAUGUGUUAUGCUUAUAUCUUUACUGGAAAUAUCCUGCUAAAUAUUGUCUUAGGAUAUUGGAUUGGGACGACUUAUAAACUGAUUAUGUUACACCACCAAAAAGUAAACAACAGGGUUUUACAUCCCAUCAUUUAAAUCACCACAAUAACCCCCUUUUCAGUUAAACGGAAGAUCAGCAUUGGCAAUUUUUCGCUGCCAAAUUUAGUUGUGACUUUUUUCACCACUUUUGCUGUCAGUUUGAAUCAUCUUUAGAGGAAGAAGUUAGAUAAUACAAAGUGUCGCUUGGCUUGGCACGGAACAACAGGAAGGCAGGAAGAGAAGACAGUAAAACCCCUGCUGUUUAUUUCUUCCUAUGCUCAUUUUAGUGCAGGGGCUGGUAGUAGAAGAAAUACCAUUGAGACCCUUUUCUGAUGAUUGGGAAAUGUUGUGGAAUGAUUUGUUCUACUGACACCUGACCACUGUUGUCAAAACUCUUCUACAAAAUAUGUUACAAU